GCGUUGUUCGGAUUUACUGGGCGUAAAGGGCGCGUAGGUUGUUAGAUAAGUCAGAAGUGAAAUCCCAGAGCUUAACUCUGGAACUGCUUUUGAAACUAUCUUUCUAGAGUUUGGUAGGGGGUGAUGGAAUUCCUAGUGUAGCGGUGAAAUGCUUAGAUAUUAGGAGGAAUACCGAUGGCGAAGGCGGUCACCUGGGCCACAACUGACACUGAGGCGCGAAGGCGUG
rnacentral:rRNA from 1 species